rnacentral:lncRNA from 1 species
AUAAUUCAAUUGAAUUAAUAAACGUAUAUCAGUCCGAUGACUUGUUUGUUUAUAAUUAGGUCUACACCUAUGCCUAUGAUUAGCACAGUCAGUGUCUACCCAGCAGCAUUAGCGCACUCCUGUCCCGGACACUGCUCCAGUCCCGCAGCAGGAAAAGAUAUGUGAUAGACCGAAACAUGACACUCUCCUCACAUAGGUAUUUGCCAGUCGCCAUGAUGAGACAAACAUACCACAACAUUUGCCAUGAGUACAACCACUCAAAUAUUGGCAUCUACGAAAGAAGGUGGUACAAAGCAUACAAACACCCAGCAAGACGUUAGCAAGAAACACUCUGGUUGUUUGCUGAAACUUGUAAUGAAAGCUACACACAAUUUAAGGAGCAAAUGACUGGCUCAAAUGGAUGUGAUGCAAACAAUUCCAUCUGUGUGGACAUGAUGAAAUGGACAUGCCCAAUCCAUGGUUAGCAGAAGAAUUUUCAUUAAAACCACCGCCUCUUGUUCGUGUUACUGGACUAAAUAAAGUCAUCAAGACGGAGACACAUUUAAGAGACAGAAAGGGUGUAUACGAUCAUAACAAAGGAGAAAAUGUUGGCUCUUGUGAACGAUCGCUCUCAGAAUUUUCGUUAAAACCACCGCCUCUUGUUUGUGUUACUGGACUAAAAAAAGUCAUCAAGACGGAGACAUAUUUAAGAGACAGAGAGGGUGUAUACGAUCAAACCAAAGGAGAACAUGUACAAUGGAUAGAAGAGAAAGAUUCAUGGGACGUUCUUCCAUCGAGGUUUAGUGUUAAGAGUGUACACAAUCCAUGCGCUUUAGCCGGGGACUGUUUGUGACUUUUACUGGAAGAAAGGCGAAGAGUCAUCACCAUGUCAUGUAUUAGCAUACGGAACUCAAAACGAAAUGGAAAAAAAAAGAGAUCCGAAGUGGCAAAGAAAGCUGAAGCAGAAGACAAUGAUGAUGAAGCCACAACCUCCUUUGGAGUUGGUAGAAGACAAAUCAAAAAGCCUGCUCGGCUUCAGAAUAACCUAGAAACGUCCGAUCAAACCCCGACUUGUCAAAAAUGAUAAAAAAAAACCUUAAGGAGUUUAAGGAGGGAAUGAAGCAGCAGGAGCCCAAUGAAGGAAAUAGCCCAUCAUCACAUUAUGUGAAACAAACUUCAAAGGUGGAUAUAGGGUACGGAAAGAGGUACCCUGCUAUGUGCCACACAAUCGAGCGACGGCCCAACCAAACUUGUGAGAAGUUUAUUCAGGUCUUUAUUUAAGGUUGAAGAAGUGGUCGGGAAGAGCAUCACUGGCCGAAAAAGCAACGCUCACUUGACCACUACUGAGCCAAAGGAGCAGGCCAUCAUAGAUUUCACGAUGAAGAAAUUCCCCAACACUUCAGUUGCUUUGCUGAGGCAAUCAUUGGCCAAUAAAGUCAAAGAACUAAACAAAAUUAAGGCGAAUUAAUUCAAUUUAUAUUUAUGUCCAUCCGUUUAACCAUAGCUCAACUACCGAAUGCCUAAACCUAAGAGGCCAGACUGUAUUUAUAUAUUCCAGUAACUAACAUAAUUUCAAUACCUUUAGAAUUAUAUUACUGUAACGAUUAUGAUGGACAAAUUUAAUAAGUUAUUAUCGUUGAUUUUAAAAUGUACUGUUCGUAACAAACUGGGAGGGAUAUUUUUAGUAUGUGAAUUUGAUCUUAUAUUUCAUCAUUUUUACAAUGUAAAAUAUUUGGACAUCUCUGGAUCCGCCCCUGCAUCAAGAGAACUUUAAUUAUAUAAGUUAAUGUUAAUAUUUAAGAAAAUUUGAAUUUUUAAUUAACUAAAGCUUGAGGUCACUUGUCAUGCAUUU